GCUAGCUGUUCAGAGGUCAGGCGCUGGUCAGAACAUGAGGAAGGAGGAACACGGUGGCCAUAUCUGAAGUGAUCUAGUAAACAGGAGACAUUUCCUCCAGGAAGUCUGUAGUGGGUAAGACCCAGUUACUACCCUUGAGGAAAGGAAGGUGAUGGGAACUAGCAUCUAUUAUGCACUGUGUGCCAGACUUGAGUAAACACUUCCAAGUCCUGUUCCUUGACUCCUAUGAGGUUAGUAACUUUUAUCAUCGCCAUUUUAAAGGAAGGCUCAGAGGCACUCUGCAGUCACACAGCUGGAGGGGUGCAGUGAGACGCGGAGGCUCCAAGUCUCUUCUGGACUAGGCCUGGAUCUGCCACCUCUUCUUUCGGCUGUGGAUGGCCCUGGGAGACACGCCUGGCCUCAGAUGCCCCUUGACCCAACUGGAGGAAGGGUGGGGGGCCCAGCAGAAAAGCCUGCAGCCUCCCUGGGCACCGUUUCAAAGCUGAUGCUGCUCUCCCUGCUCUGGGUCUCAGCUCCUCCCCUCUUCUGCAUUGUUGACCAACAGCCUGGGUCUGACGCGGAAGCAGAAGAAUUCCCAUUCAACUGGGCCCCAGGGAUGGGGGGCCUCUCUGCCAGUAAGUGACACCCUCUGCUACUGAAAGGCCUCAUGUUCCUGCCCUGCCAAGCCUGGGGUGGCCACCACGUGACAGCACCAGGGACACGUGUCUUCUGGGACCGCUUGUGAGCUGGGUGGCUGGCAAGUUUGUUUCUCCAUGUCCCGCAGCAGGGGCAAGGGUGUGGGUGGUCAUAAUGCACCAGGGCUCUGGGCGGGCUGAGCAGAGUGCAGUUCCUGCUGCCAGCCCCGAUAUGGCACGGACAGCUGGAAAAACUGACCAUGUGGCUUGACUAUCUCAGAGGAUUGCUCCAUUUUUCCUCAGCAUAAUUUUUCCAUGAAUAAUCUUUAAAGCUCUUUAAGUGGCUGUUUCUUUAGCAGUUUUAUUGGAACAUAUGAGAACUGACAGUCUCUGUGGGGAACGAGAUAUCAUGUUGAAAAAAAAUCUGGUUUUCAUUACACUUCUUUCAAGAAAGCAACAGGCUGCCCAACAGACCUCUCAUUGAUUGGAAGAGAAAUGAGCCCAGAGCCUCCUAACAACAGCCUUGGAGUGGACAGGAUGAUGAACAGUGAUGCCAAAGACUCAGGAUCUGAAGGCAGACAGGCCUGGUCCACCACCUGUGUCUGCCAUUUGCAGGAUGAGUGACCUUGAGUAGGUCACCUCACACCUCUGAACCUGAAUUCUACAUCUGCAAAACAGGAAUGAUGACCCUGACUGACAGCCUCCCUGUGAGGAGUAAGCCAUACAGCAUCCCUCCCUCCUUCACGUGACAAACUUUUCCUGAGUCCUGACCUCGGGGGCAGGAGCUGGAGAUACUACACUGGAUUAGAAAGAUGAGUUUCCAGUCAAGUGUGGGAGAGAGAAGUAGCCAGGAUGUAGAACCUGACAAGGGAAGAGUUCAGGAACUUGCCCAGUUGAGCAGCCAGUGAACGGGACAGCCCUGAGCACGGUGCACGUGAGAACACAGAGGGGACCCCUGGAGGGCCUGAUGUCCAGGUUCUGGGGUGGCUCGUGAGUGACAGCAGUACUGGUAUGCUGGUGAGUGCCUCAGCAGGAGCUCCCUCUGUCCCCCUACCAACUCCCCGAUGUCUGGACGGCACCAGAGCCCGCCUGGGAGGCCACGAGCUAACACUCUCAAGAGGAAAACAGGGGGAUCAAACCAAUGACCCAAGGGCCUACAGCUAAGAACUGCUGGAGCCAGGCUCUGAACUGAGCUCUGCCUGACUCCAGAGGUGGUUUCUACCACCAGGCAAUACAACAGGGAGACACGCAGGUGUGUCAGAGAGCAGUCCUCACAGUGCGAGCACAGAAACCAGAGGCCAAGGCUGAAGAUUUUCCUGGACUCGCGGUGCUGCCCAGGAAUCUUCUGAGAAAACCUGUCAGUUGGUAAAGCCACGUGGAGGCGGGGCUAACAAAAUCUGGAAAUGUCUUCACCAGUUCCAAAGUACACACAAACAUUACUUGCCCUCUCUGGGGGUCAACGUUCUUUAUGAUUUUUUUCUCUCCAGGAAAAUAUUAGUUCAUUUAUAGAAACUAAACAUUACAUGUGGAGGGAAAAUGGAAAACGUGGCAUUCUUGGCCUUUUUUCUCCACAGACACAGAAACUGAGAAGGUUUCUCCAUUUCCUUUCUCACAGCCUAUUUGUUGGUGUGGAACUGCCUGUGAAGUCAUUCUGCAGGGGUGGAAAGUGGGGGCCAGCUCUCUGUGGGCAACAGGGACCAUCCCAGAGACAAAGGGCAGCCUCAGCCCACAGACCACUUCGGACUUGAAUCAAGGCCUCAAAGGGCGAGACCUGGGCCACUGUCAAUGUGAGGGCAGGUAGGCUGGGUAGAGGGGUAGAGGCGUGGGCGCUGCCUAGAAGAGGGCCAGAGAGACCGCCCGGCACAUUGGUCUUGCUCCCACUGCCUCCUUUCAGCUCCUCAGUGUACCCAUCCUUGCCCCUGGCAGCUUUUGCUGCCUGGUUCCCCGACUAAAAUGUGAGCUUUGUGGGGAAGGUUCUUGCCUUGCUGGGCACCUGGCUCACAGCAAGUCCUUGGCCUGGAAGUCUUGGGUGAAUGAAUGAAUGAACAUGUCUUAGGGCCUCUCCUUUGCAGGUGUGGGGGAUGUGCCUACUGGAAAGGGCACCGAGCUGAAGCCUAAACCCCCUCCUGAGGAGCCAGGGAAGCCUGCGUUCCUCCCAUUCCCGGGACUGCAAGAGGCACAUUCCUGUCCCUGAGUCUGGUCAGGCUCCUGCCACGCAGCUCAGUCUGGCUGCCAGGUCCAGAAAGGCCUCCCUGGAGCUGCCCCUCUGGCCCCACCCUUCCCAGGACCCCAGGCCACCCCACAGCUGCAGCAGCACCCACUCUCUGUCUUCUGAGGCUGCUAGUGGGAAGCUGGGACCCCCGAGUGUGUCUGAAACCUUCCAGGCACUCCUCGACCCUCUAGUGAUCAAUGAAAACCUUCACAUCCUGCUUCCAGGGCUGAAGCCAGGGAUUUGGAAAAUUGGUGGAAAACACUCCUAUGAGCUGGGGCUUGCUCUGCUGUGGAAAACUGCCAGCAUCAGCACUUCUCCCAAGGCUGUGCCGAGUCAGCAGUCAGCCCACUCUGGAGCUGCCUCUGAGGACCAGGUGCCUACAGGACCCUGUAAGGAGCUUGAAGAGUUGUGGCUGACGGAGGGAUUUCUGUCCUGGGCUCUAGGAAUUCUAGACUGGGCCCUUCCUCAAGGAGCUUUCAGUCUGGCGGAGCAGACAGACAUGGGCAAAUAAGCCCACAACUAACUGUGCCAUCACUGCAGAAGGAAGUGCCACGGAGGAGCAUGAGGGCCAGUUGCAGGAAGGAGCCAGGGCCAGCAUGUGCCUGUAAAAGCCAGAUAGUAAAUAGUUCACGCUCUGCAGGCCACAGGGUCUUUGUCCCAAGCACUCAACUCUGCCACUGCUGCAUGAAAACAGCCACAGGCGAUAUGUCAACCAAAGAGGGGUGGUUGUGCCCAUAUGAAAACAGAGGGUGGAUCUGUCCCACAGUUUGCCACAGCCUGGCUGUUAGACGGCCUGACCUGAUUGGGGGUGGGGGUGAUAGUGGGGAGAAGGCUUCCCCGAGGCAGUGAUAUUUAGCUAAAAGCUGCAGGCUGAGGCAAUGAUGGAGGCAGAAUCACAAUAUGACAAUUAUGAUAAUCACAUCACCAUGAUCAAGUUCCACCUAACACGUGUGUUCUAUGUUGCGCACUGUGCUAAUAACAACACUACCCUGUGAAGGAGGAAGAUUUUAUGCCCACUUUACAGAUAGAGACACUGAGGCUUGGCAGUAUGCUGAGUAGUCUGUUCACACAAUUCAGCUGCAUUUUUUGC
rnacentral:lncRNA from 1 species